rnacentral:tRNA from 1 species
UGCAGAGUAGAGAAGCGGUCAUCUCGCAAGCCUCAUAAGCUUGAGAUCGGAGGUUCGAAUCCUUCCUCAGCAA